ACGCCCGCUCAAGAAACCAAAGGAAGUUGACGGGGCCCGCACAAGCGGUGGAGUAUGUGGUUUAAUUCGAUGCAACGCGAAGAACCUUACCUGGUCUUGACAUCCCGGAGACCCUUAGGAAACUAGGGGGUGCUUCCAUCUGGAAGAAUCUGGAGACAGGUGCUGCAUGGCUGUCGUCAGCUCGUGUCGUGAGAUGUUGGGUUAAGUCCCGCAACGAGCGCAACCCUUGCCUUUAGUUGCCAGCAGUUCGGCUGGGCACUCUAAAGGGACUGCCGGUGUUAAACCGGAGGAAGGUGGGGAUGACGUCAAGUCCUCAUGGCCUUUAUGACCAGGGCUACACACGUACUACAAUGGCCGAUACAAAGGGCAGCGACACUGCGAGGUGAAGCCAAUCCCGUAAAAUCGGUCUCAGUCCGGAUUGGAGUCUGCAACUCGACUCCAUGAAGUUGGAAUCGCUAGUAAUCGUGGAUCAGCAUGCCACGGUGAAUACGUUCCCGGGCCUU
rnacentral:rRNA from 1 species